rnacentral:rRNA from 1 species
UACGGAGGGAGCUAGCGUUGUUCGGAAUUACUGGGCGUAAAGCGCACGUAGGCGGCCGUGUAAGUCAGAGGUGAAAGCCUGGAGCUUAACUCCAGAACUGCCUUUGAGACUGCAUGGCUUGAAUCCAGGAGAGGUGAGUGGGAUUCCGAGUGUAGAGGUGAAAUUCGUAGAUAUUCGGAAGAACACCAGUGGCGAAGGCGGCUCACUGGACUGGUAUUGACGCUGAGGUGCGAGAGCGUGGGGAGCAAACAGG